AGCUCAAUGAUUACAUUCCUUUCGAAGGCAAUAUACGCUAUUCUCAUUGGUAUAUUAUCAACAUGAUGAUAACAUAAAAUGUAUAUGAGAGCU